ensembl:lncRNA
UUAUUAAUCAGUGCAAAAAGACUUUAUUUAUGAUAAGCUCAGUGUUGAGAUUGUAGACAUCACUAAAUUUUUAAUAUCAGUCCUCUGAUCACACAAGUUUGGAACACACAAACAUCAGGAAAACAUUUAACAACUUCUCUCUGAUAGAUAUAAAUAAAUAAAUAAAACCAUAAUAAAUAAGAAUAAAUAUAUGAUUAAACAUUUGGUUACUUAAACAUUUCAAAUGGUCACAGGUACUUCAGUUUGUUGCUUCAUUUGGAGGAUGUGAACUUAAGAAAUGUUAAAAACAUGAUCUGAGUACAUGUGACGACAGAGCCAGAACUACUGUAAGGAAGCUGAUGUUGUUGAGAAUAGCAGAGGAGGUGGUUGUUGCUGUCGCUGCAGUUAUGGUUGUUGAAGCAGCUGUAGUUGUUGUCGCGGCAGUUUUGGUUGUUGUUGGAACAGUUGUGGUUGUUGUUGCUGGUGUUGUUGUUGUUGUCGCUGCGGUUGUGGUUGUUGUUGAAGCAGCUGUAGUUGUUGUCGCGGCAGUUUUGGUUGUUGUUGGAACAGUGGUUGUUGCUGUCGCUGCAGUUAUGGUUGUUGAAGCAGCUGUAGUUGUUGUCGCGGCAGUUUUGGUUGUUGUUGGAACAGUUGUGGUUGUUGUUGCUGGUGUUGUUGUUGUUGUCGCUGCGGUUGUGGUUGUUGUUGAAGCAGCUGCAGUUGUUGUCGCGGCAGUUGUGAUUGUUGUUGGAACAGCUGUGGUUGUU